rnacentral:rRNA from 1 species
AUUGAACGCUGGCGGCAGGCCUAACACAUGCAAGUCGAACGAGUGGCGCACGGUUGAGUAAUGUCUGUGAAACUUCCCGAUGGAGGGGGAUAACUACUGUUAACGGUAGCUACUACCGCAUACCAUCGGAUGUUCCCCGAUGGGAUUAGCUAGUAGGUGGGGUAACGGCUCACCUAGGCGACGAUCCCUAGCUGGUCUGAGAGGAUGACCAGCCAGACUGGGACUGAGACACGGUCCAGACUCCUCCGAGAGGCAGCAGUGGGGAAGAUUGCACAAUGGGCGAAAGCCUGAUGCAGCAAUGCGGCGGGUAUGAAGAGGGCGUUAGGGUUGUAAAGUACUUUGAGCGAGGAGGCGUUAGUCGCAGAGGCAGCAACGGCUAACUCCGUGGCAGCAGCCGCGGUAAUUC